rnacentral:tRNA from 1 species
ACUUAAAUAGCUUAUGUUUAGAGCUUGGCACUGAAGAUGCCGUUGAGGUUGUAUAACCUUUAAGUA